UACGGAGGGUGCAAGCGUUGUCCGGAUUUAUUGGGUUUAAAGGGUGCGUAGGCGGAAUAGUAAGUCAGUGGUGAAAGUCUGCAGCUCAACUGUAGAAUUGCCAUUGAUACUGCUAAUCUUGAGAACACUUGAGGUAAGCGGAAUUUAUGGUGUAGCGGUGAAAUGCAUAGAUACCAUAAAGAACACCGAUAGCGAAGGCAGCUUACUGGAGUGUGACUGACGCUGAGGCACGAAAGCGUGGGGAGCGAACAGG
rnacentral:rRNA from 1 species